rnacentral:rRNA from 1 species
UACAGAGGUCUCGAGCGUUAGGCGGAAUCACUGGGCUUAAAGCGUGUGUAGGCGGAUCGUUAAGUACCUUGUGAAAUCCCACGGCCUAACCGUGGAACUGCUUGGUAUACUGGCGGUCUUGAGCCAGCUAGGGGCUACCGGAACAAAUGGUGGAGCGGUGAAAUGCGUAGAUAUCAUUUGGAACGCCAAUGGUGAAAACAGGUAGCUGGGGCUGUGCUGACGCUGAGACACGAAAGCCAGGGGAGCAAACGGG